UCCCUGGUGGCUCAGAUGGUAAAGCGUCCUGCCUGUAAUGCAGGAGACCUGGGUUUGAUCCCUGGGUUGGGAA
rnacentral:tRNA from 1 species